UCACUUACCCAAAAACCCUAACCCUCUCGAUCUGUUCUCUUGGUUCCCUCUCUAUUCGCUGCAAUACGUCCUUCUCUCCCUCUCGUUCUCACUGCAAGUCAGUCCUCCUCUCCCUCUGCUUCUCAAUCGCUCUCUCUCUCCCUCUCCUUCGCAUGGGAGAAUCGCUCCUUCUCCUGCUCGGUGCCGCCCAUUCCACCGGCGCCGCUCCUUCCCUCACACGAUGAUGGUGGAAGAAUCUUCUGUUAUCUUCUAGAUACAUUUCGUUCCAGAUCUGUUUCUCCGUUUCCUUCGUUUCACUCGAAGAGCAGAUCGGUGACGAAGAUGAAAACAAAGAAGGUGACCCUCCCUGAGCACGCGACGGCGCGUCCUGUGGCGGCAAUGCGAAGAGUGAACACGGUGGCUAAGGUGGUGCCGCCCGUGCCAUUGCCUGCGCACCAUCUUCCCAACUCGUCCCGACUUGGAAGCUGGUUCCACUUUCUCUCUCUGCUGUGGUUCUGCCUCUCUUUAUUUCCUCGCAGGUGAUUCUAGCUUCUGGGCAAUUGGAUGAAGUUUACUAAAUCAUAUUAUUCAUUCAUUGGUAACUCUUGUGGUCACGCUAUUGAUUAGUGUAGUUUGCAAUUGGUUGAAUAAUUUAUGCACUAGAACUGUUUGAUUAAAUGCCUCACAGAAACCUUGUUUUGUAUCUCCUGAACAAUGCGGUUGAACUUAACUUGACUAUAUUUUCUUGAAUAUUUGUUUUACUAGUUGCUGCAUUAUGGAAAAUCGAAUUUAACCGAUGGCAAUACUUGAAAAUGCUGCCAACAAUGGUCAUAGUUUCUGUCUUUCAUUAUGUGUGAUUGGGAGAGGAUCUCAAUCUUAGUGUCUUAUAGACAAAGGUAAUCUCGAGAGUACAUCUUUGAUUUCAUAUUGUUCAUCUCAGGUACUAUAGACCAUUGAGAUGUUACUAGACUAGAGCAUGGCAGCACUGCAAUGGUUUUUAUACACGACACUUGUUUCUUGUUCCUAUAGAUUAGGAUGUCCAAGAAGUUUUUCCUAUUCCUAAAUCCAAUUUGUUAUUUUUCCUCUAGUAGGCAUCCAUAUUUGGUCUUUUUGUUUCAAUUGCUUUCUCAUAUUUUCAUUGUAGCUUACACACAUAAAACUUGUCUAAUGAAGCUGUGUUAUUGAUGUCUUAUUAAUCUACAAACUGUUUGAUGAAAUGCUUGACUGACUUUUUCUCCUUUUUCUUCAUGUUUUUGUUGAAUGUGUGAGUAUCACAAAGCUUGAAAAACGCACGGAGUCCAUAACUGAGGUAGCGCACCAGCCCUCUUUUGAAUUUGUGAAGAGUAAGGCAGGAGGAGAGCGCAUCCAAUAAAUGCUUAGAAUCUGGAACUGAGAUAUUCCGCCUGGUUGGGGGACUUUUGGGUUCUGGAUACUGAUAUAUGGCAAUGGUCUGAAUUAACUAGCUUUGGUGACUUGCCUUCAUCGAGGGAUUUCACUGCAGCUUCAGCAAUUGGAAACCGGAAAAUUGUUAUGUGUGGUGGAUGGGAUGGAAAAAAGUGGUUAUCUGAUGUUUAUGUCAUGGACACAAGUAUUUUAAGGAGGAGGUGGACCAAUUAUGGGCGAUUUAUGGGCAUUGAAGGGCCUUAUUGAAGAAGGUGUGUAUGUUUUUGCCAUCUUUAUAGG